CUCCUACGGGAGGCAGCAGUGAGGAAUAUUGGUCAAUGGGCGCGAGCCUGAACCAGCCAAGUCGCGUGAGGGAUGACGGUCCUACGGAUUGUAAACCUCUUUUGCCGGGGAGCAAGGGCGGGGACGUGUCCCGGCCCGGAGAGUACCCGGAGAAAAAGCAUCGGCUAACUCCGUGCCAGCAGCCGCGGUAAUACGGAGGAUGCGAGCGUUAUCCGGAUUUAUUGGGUUUAAAGGGUGCGUAGGCGGGCUUUUAAGUCAGCGGUAAAAAUUCGGGGCUCAACCCCGUCCGGCCGUUGAAACUGGGG
rnacentral:rRNA from 1 species